AUUGAACGCUGGCGGCAGGCCUAACACAUGCAAGUCGGGCGCGCGGCGGACGGGUGAGUAAUGUAUGGGGAUCUUCCUGAUGGAGGAGGAUAACUACUGGAAACGGUAGCUAAUACCUCAUACCAACAGAUGAACCCAUAUGGGAUUAGCUAGUAGGUGAGGUAACGGCUAACCUAGGCGACGAUCCCUCGCUGGUCUGAGAGGAUGAUCAGCGACACUGGAACUGAGACACGGCCCAGACUCCUACGGGAGGCAGCAGUGGGGAAUAUUGCACAAUGGGCGAAAGCCUGAUGCAGCCAUGCCGCGUGUAUGAAGAAGGCCUUCGGGUUGUAAAGUACUUUCAGUCGGGAGGCGUUACCGACAGAAGAAGCACCGGCUAACUCCGUGCCAGCAGCCGCGGUAAUAC
rnacentral:rRNA from 1 species